GAUGAACGCUGGCGGCGUGCCUAAUACAUGCAAGUCGAGCGGCAACACGGUCUUCGGACUGGUGGCGAGCGGCGGACGGCUGAGUAACGCGUAGGAACGUGCCCCAAAGUGAGGGAUAAGCAUCAGAAAUGGUGUCUAAUACCGCAUGUGGUCUCCGGAUCAAAGCCUUCGGGCGCUAUGGGAACGGCCUGCGUCUGAUUAGCUAGUUGGUGAGGUAACGGCUCACCAAGGCGACGAUCAGUAGCUGGUCUGAGAGGAUGACCAGCCAGACUGGGACUGAGACACGGCCCAGACUCCUACGGGAGGCAGCAGUAGGGAAUCUUCCACAACGGGCGAAAGCCUGAUGGAGCAACGCCGCGUGCAGGAUGAAUGCCUUCGGGUUGUAAACUGCUUUUGUUAGUGACGAUUAUGACGGUAACUAGCGAAUAAGGAUCGGCUAACUCCGUGCCAGCAGCCGCAGUAA
rnacentral:rRNA from 1 species